CUGCUGGAUAAGGAACCAGGAUCACAGGAACCGAACCCUCACAGGGCCAGGAACACGGGAACUGCCAAGAGGAGCCACCAGCCAGGAGCCACCAAUGGGAAUGGAGAGCUUUAGGAACAGUUGGGGAGGAGAGGACAUGAAUGAACAUUGAGAAGAGUCAGCACAGCUUUUGUAACAGGAAACCACGCCUCAUCAAUCUAUUAAAAUACUUCGAGGGGGUCAACAAACAUGUGGACAAACGAGAUCCAGUGGAUAUGGUGUCCUUGAACUUUCAGAAAGUCUUUGACAAGUGCGCACCAGCAUCUGCAGUGAGAGAGGAUGGAUCUCGCACUUCUCUUCUAUGUGCUGUUAACUGUCAUGAGAACAUCGCACAUGGCAGCAGAGUUACUCGCAAAGUUACUGACCGAGGAUGAAUUGCAGGCACCCUUGUGUGCUAUGGACAGCAGCAACUUAUCAGUGCUUUUGGCAUUCACAGAGCAGCUGCAUACGGUGGACCGUCGCUUUUGGGCUAGGGAAACAAGCACUGAUUGGUGGGAUCACACUGUCAUGCAGGUGUGGGAUGACGACCAGUGGGUACAGAACUUUAGGAUGCGUAAAGCAACCUUCAUGGAGCUAUGUGCUGAGCUGGCCCCCGACCUGCGCUGCAAGGACACCAGAAUGAGAGCUGCCCUUUCGGUAGAGAAGAGUGUUGCAAUCACUGUGUGGAAGCUGGGGAAUCCAGACUGCUAUCGGUCAGUUGCAAAUCAAUUUGGAAUGGGAAAGUCCACUGUUGGGGCUGUAUUACUCCAAGUGUGCAGGGCAAUAAAUUGCACACUUUGAGGACUGUGACUCUGGGAAAUGUACAUGAAAUAGUGGAUAGCUUUGCAGAGAUGGGUUUCCCUAACUGUGGCGGCGCAAUUGAUGGCACACACAUUCCAAUUUUAGCGCCACACCACCUUGCCUCAGAAUACAUCAAUAGGAAGGGACACUUCUCCACAGUGUUGCAGGCACUUGUGGAUCACCGGGGGUGUUUCAUGGACAUCAGUGCAGGCUGGUCUGGAAAGGCGCAUGACGCAUGCAUCUUCAGGAACAGUGGCCUGUACAGAAAGCUGCAAGUGAGGCCUUUCUUCCAGACCACAAGAUCACAGUGGGGGAUGUGGAAAUGCCCAUAGUAAUCCUAGGAGACCCAGCUUACCCCUUACAGCCCUGGCUCAUGAAACCUUACAGAGGACACCUGGACAGCAGCAAGGAGCAUUUUAACAACAGGCUGAGCAAGUGCCGCAUGGUAAUCAAAUGUGCCUUUGGCCGUUUGAAAGGUCGCUGGAGGUGUCUCAAUGGCAGGCUAGACCUUACCGAAGAUAAUAUUCCCAUGGUCACAGCUGCAUGCUGCACUUUGCACAAUCUGUGUGAAUCUAAGGGUGAAAUGUUUGUUCAGGUGUGGAGCACUGAGGCAGAGCACUUGGCUGCACAGUUUGAACAGCCAGAUGUUAGGGCUGUCAGAGGAGCCCCGAGGGCUGCUAUUAACAUCAGAGAGGCUUUGAGGAACCACUUUGACAAUGGGGGGCACUAACAGAUGUCUGCUUUGGAGUUCCUUCCCUGGUGCAUCAAUUUUGGGGCCCAAGCUCCACGUAACAAAACGCUUUAGAAGGCUGUUCCCGAGAUUGAAUUGAUUGCUAUACACUUUUGUAGAACACAGAAUAAAAAUGCUGUACCAUUAAAUACCUUAGCCUUUAUUU